rnacentral:misc_RNA from 1 species
CCCAUCAGUUGCAAAAGCACCAGCCACAAGGAUAAAAAGGACCAAUGAAAAACAUUAAGCUUUAGAACUCCGAUGCUGCAUUGUGUACUGGAAAUUGUCUCAUCAUCUUCCCAAAUUUUAUUCCAAGAGGAAAACUAAAAAUCUGUGAUUAGUGAUGAUGAUCAUCAUCCCCAUGUCCAUCUGGAGGUCCACCAGGGCCCACAACUUCCAGCACAAAGUACUGUGAGCACACUGGACAUUCAUGAGGCUUGCCUUUCUC